UCUGUAGGAGUUGUUCCACGUGUAGAUGUAUUUCUGAUGUAUUUGUGGGGAGGAAGGUGAUCUCUGCGUCUUACUCUUCAGCCAUCUUGAAGCUCCCAAGCCAUGUGUUUUCUGCUGACGAAAUUCAUAGAUGAGAUGUCACAGCCCGUAUGUUCACUUCAAGUGACUUUCCAGGGUCUUCUGCGUUUCCACAACGUUACAUAAUCAGAAAAUUAAUCUCCCAGCAGCUUCCAGCCAGUCGUCACACUGGGGUCUGAAAGGCGGAGCAGCCACCAGACUGUCAGCCCAGGAGCUCCACUGAGUGAAGGUGAGGAGGGCUGAGGCUGCCUCCUCACGUCUCCUUGCCUAUGAUGAGCUGACUCUCCCUGCACCUUAUCCUCCUGGACCCAGCACCUCCUUUGGAGUCCCACGCCCACUGCUCCAACUCAAGUCCACGUUCUAGAACACCAUGCUGCUUCUUGCUGUUUAAACAGAUGAUUGUCCGGUAGGAAGUUUCAGCCGCAGCUGCUUCCUGCUUUUAAUCCCAGCCUCACAGAGUUUAUUUAAGUAAGAUUUUUCUCAACCCGUGAAGCACAAUUCCGAAGGCACAGAGGAGAAGCAAUGUCUGCACCUCAUCUGCACAAUGUGGUCGAGUGCCAAGUGCCACAGAAUGUCCCGCAGAGGCCACGGGGGAGUGACCCUUGGGGAAACGGUGCUCCAAGCUUGAUGUACUGUAACGUCGUAGGAAAGGGAAAGAAGUGCCACAAAUGAGAAAAUACAAACGCGGUCUUGUCACGGAUGGAGCUAGUGUAACCAUGGGAGACAGGAGGCUGCGGAAGAGCCUCCUGGGGAGGGGUCGGAGGUACUGAGACGGCUGAAGAAUAGAAGGAAGAAGAUACAGACGCAGAAAUGCCCUCUGGCCGAGUCAGCAAGGAGGGCACCGCCAGUUCCUGGCCGAUCCACGGGUGACGGCUGUGCUGUGGCUUUGGCGUGGGGACUUCUGACAGCUGUGCUGACGAGGACAGUGUGUGGCUCUCGGGGACACUCACAGUGCACCGGGCUCUGCCCAAGUCUGAAGAAGACUGAUCGCCGUGCACUCAGCCAUCACUACACUGCUGGGGGGUAGGGGAGGGUGGGGCAGGUACCACUACCGUGUUUUGCAAAAGAGAAAACAAGGAGGCACAGGGUUUAAGGGUCUGCCGCGGGCGGGCGAGCUGGGGCUGAGCCUGUCGGUCUGGCCCCUUCACCACCGUCUCAUGAACAGUUUCCACUGAUGAAAACAGAGGCACUGUUGGGUAGAUCCUGCAUCCUGAUAACCCGUCAGCUUCAGUCAUCAAACCCGUGUCACCAGCUGUUCACCGUCCUCUGUAAACCUCCUCCCAUCUCGUUUUCAUUCAGUGGGAGGCUCGUUCCUUCAGCAAACAUUCCCAGAGCACCAUCUAAGUGCGGGUCCUUAGAACUGUGUCACAGCUCCAAUGGGGAACAGAACAGAACUGCAGUCCCCCACGGAGAUUACAGUCCGACUCGGAGAGGUGCAUCUGAAGUCACUUGGUAAUAAAUUAAAGGUUGUAACUGCGACAGUGGCUCAGAGGGACAGAGGGGCUGGACUGAGAGUUCCGAGGGUCGAGGGGCACAAGCAGGAAAUGCCUGCGCGAGCUGAGUAGAUGGUGGACAGGCAGUGGGGAUGCAGGGGUCCUCUUGGUGGGAGCCUUGAGCACCAGUGGGGUGGAAUUCACAGGUGGCGCAAGUCGGGACAGUCCUGCUUCCAGUGGGAGGCGUUGGUGGCUCAGUGGCAACGCUUGUGCCUUUGUCCCCAUACUGGACGAAGACACAGGAUCAUCUGCCUGUUCAGGACCAUUGUUCUGUGAAGACCAGUAACCCAUCUGUGGGCAGCAGGGUAAGGCCCCAAAGAUGUCCAAGUCUUAAUCCCCAGAAACAAUGACUACCUUAGGCUAAGCAGCAAACGUUGCUUAUCAGCUGACCGUGAGGUGGGCGGUCAGCCGGGAUCACCCAGGUGGGCCCAGUGUCAUCAGGGUCCUUAUGAGUGAGUGGAGGAUCCAGGGAGAGGGGGGCGGGAAAGUCUUGGUGGUCAGGGCUGGCUUUGAAGGGGGAGGGUCCCGGGAGCCGAGGAAGGUGAGCAACCUCCAGAAGCAGGAAAAGGCAAGAAAUGGGUUUUCCGUGGGACACGGCUCUGCCAACACCUUGAUUUUAGCUCAGAGAGACCCCUUUCCGUUUCUGAGCUCCAGAACCACAAAGUGAUAAAUUUGCGUGUUUUAAACCAUUAAGUUUGUGGUAAUUUGUUCUAGCAGCAGUACGAAACUAAUACUAAUACUAUGAUUUUUCUUCCUGAACAUCUCGUUUACCACACUGACUUGAGUGUGAAACAAUAGGUUUGACUGUGAAAAUGCAGCUAAGAUUGACCUAACCUUCAGCCAGUCCGGCCCAAGCACGUUUCUGAAUAAUGCCCAACUUGGUGUUUACACCCUCCAGUUUAAAAAAGUGAUUAUAAUAGAAAUAUUAAAAAAUGUAUUUUUGCUUUUCUCUUGGGUUUUGGAUAAAGAUAUGUAGGAUUUAGCAUCUCUUAUUUCAUGUUUCUCCUUUUUAUUCAAGAUGAAAUAUUCCCAGAAAUGUCAAAAUGACACAGACAUGUUCAGCGUUUGCUGUUUCCAGGUCGUGGGGCGGGCAGAACUCCUGACACCUGUGUUAGUAUAAAAACUGGAGACCCAGGACCAACACUGGGGUCUGUACUCGUUUGGAUGUUGUCAGAUUUUAUGAUCUAAGAAUGACAGUUUAUAAUCACUUCUUUACUAUGGCUUAUCGUUUUUUUCCCCCCUCCAAUUUUUUUUUAAUGAAGUUGUGCUUAUACAAAUUACUAGUUUUAUAAAAGUACAAAAGGGCUUUCACCUAGUUUCUGAAGAAUAAUAAGAUCAGUGUUGUAGGGGAAUAAACUGUGGCUACUUAAGAAAGGCCGAGGACCACCCUUGUACUCAGAAUUUUUGUGUAUUGGGAAAUGGCAUAAUGACAAAAAGGUACUAUUCAGUAAUAUUUCAGAAAUGUGUGUUUUAUUAUCACAAAUACAUCUAGGUACAUGCGUAGACAAGGGGCCACACGUGAAAGACAUUUGAUUUUUGGACCACGCUGAGUAGAGUGUCCUUACGACACAUGCCUCCAAAAUGUGGUUUACGGCUGAGCCUGGUGUGCAAGCUCUCAGCUUCGAGCGCCCUUCAGAACGAAAACUUUAUUUAAGUAUAGUUGAUUUAUAAUACCGUGUUAGUUUCAGUUGUACAGCACAGUGAUUCAGUUACAUGCAUAUAACUGAAUAUAUAUUCCUUUUAGAUUCUUUUCUGUCGUGGUCCAAACGCAGGUUGGAAAAGAAUUUCCAGACACAAGGCAGAAUGCAGAGGAUGGAAUUCAUUAGCGGGAAUGGUUGCUGCCAGAACAGCAGGCCGACUUCCUAGUAGUCUGGGAUAGCCGACCCUGAACAUGUGCUAUCAGUCGGUUUUUAUAGCCAGAGAACAAAAGAAUGGUCCGAGGUGAAAAUUUCUUUUCUCAAUUGGUCGAGGCACAUAUAUAUACCUUCCUUCUAUAGGGUGGGAGUGGGACAAGGCAGAUGCCUUUCCUUAUUUGGGACGAAAGAGGAACAGUCCCGUUGACCAGGUGGGCUCAGGAAUUUCGUUCCCAUCGCAACAUGGCGCGGAGGGCGAGAGAGUCUGGUGGGGUCCGUAACACAGCUUUUUCAGGCUGGGCUGUCCUUUGUCCUUGGAGCACCACAUUUUCCCUUAUAGGUUAUUACAGAAUAUUGAGUAGUUCCCUGUGCUACACAGUAGGUCCUUGUUGGUUAUCUAUUUUAUAUGUAGUAGUGUGUAUCUGUUAAUCCCAACCACAAGAGCUGUAUUUAAAGCCGCCCUGCGGCCUCCCGAGCAUUCCAGCCUGAACUCCACCCCAGCCCCUACCCACGCCCUCGGCCACUGUGCUGCUAAAUACCAUCGCUUACUGUGUUUUAAAUAGAGCGGAUGCCUCACUGUCAUUUAUUGUAGUCACGUACGUGGGCCUUUGCUUUCAGUAAUAUUUAAAGCUGUGCCUAAUUAGAUUUAACUCCAUUUGCUUGAAGACUUGUUAAGAAUCCUUUGCAAGGUGGGUUUAGUGCUCCAAACUCAUGUGAAGGCUGGAUUUUUAUGUAUCCGCAUAUUUUAAAGGAUGGAAUGCCUACCUCACACUUUUAGGUUUUAUCCCCUUCUUCCCACUGGAGAUUGGAAGGAAGACUAGCAGGAAAGAGUCUACGGUGAAAGAACUGUUGCCCCAGCCUUGUGCUCUCUGCGGGGGUGUCUUAACCUCAUCUCAGGGCCGAGGGGGAUUGUUCAAAGCCCAAAAGCUGCCUCUGGAGUCCGGUGAACCGACCUAUGAAGCUGCUGCUGACAGCCCUCAGGGUGGUCUUUUUUUCUUUUUAAAAAAUCUGCUUUUGCUUUGUUUCCAUUGGAUUUGUUUUUCUUCCCUAGGAGACAUUGCAGCAAUGGCCCAUAGGGGAGGGUGAAUAAUUACCUGGGUGAACAGAGAGGCACACAGCAUGCUGGCGGGUGUGCGAGCAGGUGGCCCAGGAGGGGCUCUGUCCCUGACGGAAGGUCUGGCUGAUACCGAGGGCUUGAGCGGCCAAGGGCCUCUGCUGAGAAGUCUGCUCCCUCAGAAGGGGGCCGACGGCCCAACCUAGAGCCCAGGAAGCCGCGAGCCCCAGGGGCCACGGAUGGGCUGGCUGCAGGUGGGAGCUGCCCGCAGGGAGAGCAUUUGCCCAGCUUCCUCCUCUCCCACCCGGUCCCCCCAACCCCAUCAUCAACCUCCUUUAUCUUACAGCUCCGGAGGUCAGGGUCCUACUAGGUGUUGGCAGCGGAGGGUUCCUUCUGGCGCCCAGAGGAGAAUCCACGUCUUUGUUUUUUCUAGCUCUAGAGGCUGUCUGCAUGCCCAACAGGCAGGACCCACAGCAGGCGGCCAGUAGGGGGAGCAGGGUGGGGCCCCAGGGCUGCGCAGGGCCGGACCUGCGGCCGGAAGGAGGACGCAAAUCUACAGCCUUCCAGAGUCGCCAGGCCCGGAGCUGAGUCAUGCCUGAGCUCAGGGCGUCGCCUGCCAGUCUCCAGGGUCCAGGCUAGCAGGUCCUGCCCUGUGUGUGCGUGCAUCUCUUAGCCAAGAUGGAUUCUAGCACAGAGGCCUACGGGGCUCCGACGAACAGGGGAUUCCAGCGGAAAACACUGCACGUCUGAGACCUUGUUUAAGGGGAACUGCCUCUCCUAUGCCUCACUUCUAAACGGUAAAUUGUUUAAGUUAUACAUUUAACAAACCACCUUGUGAGAGCCGUAAAAAGAAUGGAAGUUCACGUGCAAAUCCACUAUAAACAGCAUCGUGGCAUCUACUCCAGCAAUAACGAAACAUUACUAUGUUUCCAUAACCAUAAACCGCUUUUCCUGGGUUAUCAGGAGGUCUUCCCUGUCACCAGGAAUGGAUGCGUAGCUCAGGCGGUCCCACCUCUGCGGCCUUAUUCCCUGGCAUUGACUCUCCUCACCCAGGGUGAACACAGGACUGGCGCUCGCGUUCCCCAGCCCCAGGGACUACGCCGUCCCUCCUGGGUUUCCUAAACCCUGUCCACACCGGUGUACAUAGUCCCUUUAUUAAAUACUCCUUCAACUACCCCAGUUUGAACGUUCCAUCCUUCCCUAUGGGGAUCCCGCCACAUCUGAGGAGGUAGAGAGGGAUCUAGUGUGUAAUACAGACCUCUUUCCACUGGCUUUGCCAAGAUAAAUGCCUGUAGUUGCUAGAAAAAGCAUGUGGUUUUCUGUACCUUAACCCGGAUGGUAUGAAUGCGUGAAAUUUCAUUGAGCCAUCUCACCUCUUCUGGGGAGACUGGCGGGCAGAAGGAAUGCCAAAGCACAGGUUAAAUUAAACCCCAGGAAGCCGGAAGAGCCGGAGAAUUCUGAUUUGCUGCACUUUUGGCAAGGCCCUGCUGUAGAAUGCUAUUUUCUUUUUAUUUUUGCCCUUCUCUUAACCAAAAUACCAUCUGAAAUACUUUUACCAUUUUCCUGUUGCCACUGUGAAAAGCACUGUUGGGGAACUGACACCGGGUCAAGCGGGCAAGGGUAAUUUAACAUUUAGUUUUGUUUUAGAAAUUGCGGUCCUGUUCUCUUGACGCCAUUCCCUGGAAAAGCCCUUGUUUGUGCUCAGAGACCAGCAUUGUACAGGACGUCGAGCAAAUGUUUUCCAUGCGCACACAGUGUUUACAGAGCCGGAGCAAUUGCGUUUUGAUUCUGUCCUCUUGUGUCACAUUUGGCGCUGACACUGGACUGAGUUCCAGACACAGUGGACGUCUGUGUGAACUGGGCCUUGCCCCUCUUAGACCUCGCCCCUCUUAGACCUCAGCUGUUCUGUGAAAGUUCGUGGGUUGGUUAUGAGAUGCCAGCCUCUCUGCUGUGUCCCCUGUGGAGCGUCAAACACAUGACAACUGCAGACCACAGAGGUCGGGCCCUGUGCGCCGUCACCCGCCGGGUCUCCCCCACCCAGCAGCGGUGUUUAGGCUGCAGGAUGGGGAGACCUCUGGGCACCGCGGGGGGCACAAGUUUUGCCCAGAUUUCUCUGAUUCAAACAGUAAUUGCUUUCGCUUGUUUUACACAUUAAUUGAAAGCCCGGUCAUUGGAACAAAGAGUUUGAGGGCUUAACAAAAAUAGGAAACAACUGAUCUAAAGCAGGGGCUUCCAAAUCUGGCUGCAGAGAAUCAACCAGAAAGACUUUGGGUAACAGAAGUAUGCGGGUUUUACCAUGAUCAAAGCGAAGAGAAUCUCAUGGGGGUGGAACGGCAGCUUUCACAAGCUCGUUGGGUGAUCCUUGCACACACAUCGUGGCGAGCUUGGGAAACGUUCGUUUGGACCAGCAGUUGAAACCGUACUGGGCCUUAGAACCUCCUGAGUAGCUUGUAGAUUAGCUGCUGCCCAGACCUCAGCCCCAGAAAUUCUGACUGAGAAGCCACAGGUGUGCCUGGGAUGCUGCAGCUAAAUAAACGCACCAGAUGAUUCUAAUGUAAGUAGUUUGAGGGCCCGUGCAGAGAAACACGUGAACACAGUUAACGGCACGUGUGCCCCAUGGUGGACCUUCCCUCUUCCAAAGGUGAACGUUUCCUGCAUAGCUAUCUGAGGCUUCAAAACAGGGCCUCUUUUAAAAACAAGAGUGGUUGUUUCCAAGUGGUGGAAUUAUGGAUGGUUUGUAGAUAUUUAUUCUUUACGCUUGUCUGUAUUUUCUAUUUUUCGUUAAGCGUAUAGUAUAUUCCAUCUACUGUAUUGUUUCAGUAAUAAAAUAAUAGUGAUCAAUAAUUUUAAAAUACGAUAAAGAGGAAUACAACUGAAAAAUCUGUCUCCUUUCUAAGCAACAAGUUUAGAAAGACAUUCUUGCCCAUUUUUUAGAGUUUGGUUCUUGGUCUCCUUUUCCAUAGUACUCAUGUCAUGUGUGUGACAUAGAUUUCCCAAGGUAGCUCAUUACAGCCUCUUUAGCCAACAGCGGCUGACACGGGUGUUUGAUCUUUUCACGUGUGCUGUGUCUGCUUUAUAAACCACAAGCUGUGUUGUCCUGCUCCACCUUUUUGUCUUCUAUUGUCUUUUGAUUUUCUUCUGCCUCUUAUUGUUUGUGCUCAUAUUUCCCUCAUUCCUCAUCCUCUCCCGCCAUCCCCACCUUGAAUCUCUAGUUAAUACAGGAAAAGCUUCAGGCAAAGCACAGACAAUGGUAGCUUUACAAGGCACUAAUCCCAUUCAUGAGAGCUCGGCCUUCGGGGUUCAAGCACCUCCCAAAGGCCCCACCUCCUAAUGCCAUCUCAUCAGGCAUUAGGAUUUCAACUUGUGGAUUUUGAGGGGACAAACUUUCAGGCCGUAGUAACAUCAAACUUUAUCAAGUAAAUAAGCAACAUAAUCUGGAAAUAUCUCCAUUUACCAACCGUCCUGGUGUAUUCCUUCAAUUCUGUUGUGAGAUCAGUAGAAUCUUCUGGUCUAGAACAUGAACAUGCAUAUUUAACAUUUUUUAUAUGAAGGAUGUGCUUCAUUGAUUUGUUCAUUCAGUUAUUUAUUCAGCAAGUAUCUAAGUGUCUAGUAUGUACCAGGCACUGUCCUGGGAGCCAGGAUGCAUUGGUGAACAAAAGAGAAAAAAAGAAAAUUCUGCCCCGGUGAAGCUUACAUCCUGGGGUAAUUAAUAAAUUAAUAAAUUUAUUAAUACAUUAAUAAGGGUGAAAAAUAGACCAGUGUGAGGGGGUUUCUGAGUGUCUGGGGAACGUUGCAAUUUUAACUGAAAUAUUAAAGGUAGGUCUAAUGAGAAGGCAACCUGUGAGCGGAGGCUUGAUAAGUUAGGAAGCCAUCAUAUGUAAACAUAUGAUACUUGCAAGUCACCUGAAGGCCCAGCUUUCGCAAGAUCUUGUGCAGACACUGUCUACCGGGCAAUUUGCCUUCCAUCCCAGGAUAAGACAAGGCAGAGCAAGGGGGCAUUUCACUUGUAACAGCAGGAAUCACAGCAAGUCUGUGUUUCCUUCUUAUAAAUGCCCUUUUAAGGUUUUAUAGCUCUAACAACUAUUGUAGACAGCACAAUUGUCCUUCAGUCAAAGGAGAAGCAUCUAUAUAAAGUAGCUUAUUUAUUUUCCUCUCAAGAUUUUUCUUUAAAAUACAUGCAAUUUCCAUGGACCUAUGAGGCUCUCUGGCUUAGAACGCUGGCUGAAUAUUUUCCAACAGCACCUUUCCUCCCGGUAGGGAAGGAUAAUAUCUUGAAACAUGAAUCUCCCUGACUUCCGUUUAUCUACUCCCUUGUAUGUGACUUUGCACUAGUUAGAACAUCCACGUUGCCUUGAAAAGAAGUAGGAGUUUUAGAGCUGGAAUGAGAAGCAGAAGAAAGGGUAAAUGUUUGCUGUAUUUUGCUGCAACAAGUCAACAUGAGGCAGUGGAACCAAGAAACAGAAAGUAAGCUCCUGUCUCUAGACUUUGCUGCAUCACCGGCGCAACCUGACAGGGUCGCUUCAGCAGCACACUAGUCCUUGGGAUCUCCAUCGGCAGCUGCCUACACAUCAGAGCCCUGGGCCACAGAGACGAGAGAGCCCAGCUGCGCACGAAACCCCACCAAGUCCCAACCCAGUAGCUACACUGGGGACCCUCCACUGCCCUCCACAGCUCUGGACACGUGUAAGUCCCCUCCUCGGUUUGGUUGUGCCUCAAGGUUUCCCCACUGUAUCUCUAAAAUAUGCACCUGGGAUUGGGCUCCCUGCCUAAGCAUGGUCCUAGCUUUGGCAUUUGCUUUUCUUUACUUCUGCCCACUCAGACAUAGCAGAGAAGUUCUUCUCGGAAGAAUGACUUCAGCAGAGAAGUUGCAGGCGGUUAUGUACCAUGCCUUAGGUACUCCUCAAAUGUUAGGCUUUCAGUGAUGCUACACCCACCGGUGGCUCACGUCACUUGCGUUGCUCUGGGUUUCAUGUUGCAGUAAAAGCAAAGAGCAUUUGUAGAAAGACUGAGCAAAAUUGUUGGUAUUUUUGCUGUUCUUUGCUUCCCCUGUCCGUGGAGGUGGAUUGAGACACCUGGAAUGAGGCUCUGUGGGCCAGCAGAUAGAAAAACGGUGAGCCGUCACGGGGCCAGGAAGUGCCUCCUCUGUUUAGACAUCUCUGUGAGUGUGGGUCCUGGUGUGCACAGAAACAAAUUCUGGCCCUCGUACACACCUACUCUCCUGGCUGUGGCUGCCUUUAUCAACUCGGUCCCGCAGAUGCAGACUCCCUAACGGCGCGAAUUCAUCCUCUUUCUGUCCUGCCAUCCUCAGCAUUUCAGAUGAAGCUGAGGUUUUCAUGUGAACAGAGAAGCUAAAUUUCUGUGUUCUGGUUAUAUAGUUCCACGUGUGCAUUAGGCACUAUUUUCCAACAGAUGAGAAUCACUUCUGUUGACAUUUUCAACCAUUCAAUUCCACUUGCUUUUCUAAAUUAGAUUUGCUUUAGCUUCAUUUUCUCCCAGGCAUUAUUGGAAGAAUGAUUAUGGAGCCCAUUAACCAUUUCAUCAUUUUAUUGCUGAUAGCCAAACCAGAAUUAAUUUUCCAAAAUUAGGUAGCACAUUACCACAAUGAUUUACUAAAAUCCAGGUGUAUUUAAAA